CCUACGGGUGGCAGCAGUGGGGAAUAUUGCACAAUGGGGGAAACCCUGAUGCAGCGACGCCGCGUGAGUGAAGAAGUAUUUCUGUAUGUAAAGCUCUAUCAGCAGGGAAGAAAUCGCUACCUUUGGGUCGCCCGCCGGUACCUGAUUCAGACGCCCCGGCUAACUACUUGCCAGCAGCCGCGGGAAUACGUAGGGGGCAAGCGUUAUCCGGAUUUACUGGGUGUAAAGGGAGCGUAUACGGCAGCGCAAGUCUGAAGGGAAAUGCCGGGGCUUAACCCCGGAACUGCUUUGGAAACUGUGCAGCUAGAGUGCAGGAGAGGGAAGUGGAAUUCCUAGUGUAGCGGGGAAAUGCGUAGAUAUUAGGAGGAACACCAGUGGCGAAGGCGGCUUACUGGACUGUAACUGACGUUGAGGCUCGAAAGCGUGGGGAGCAAACAGGAUUAGAUACCCCUGUAGUC
rnacentral:rRNA from 1 species